GCGGCGUGCCUAACACAUGCAAGUCGAGCGGGAACCUCAGGAGGGGUAACCCUCUUGAGGGGAGAGCGGCGAACGGGUGAGUAACACGUGGGCAACCUGCCCCGGACACCGGGAUAACCCAGGGAAACCUGAGCUAAUACCGGAUACUCCGGCGCGAUCGCAUGUUCGCGUCGGGAAAGCUCCGACGGUCCGGGAUGGGCCCGCGGCCUAUCAGCUUGUUGGUGGGUAACGGCCCACCAAGGCGACGACGGGUAGCUGGUCUGAGAGGACGGCCAGCCACACUGGGACCGAGACACGGCCCAGACUCCUACGGAAGGCAGCAGUGGGGGAUCUUGCGCUAAUGCGCGAAAGCGUGACGCAGCGACCCCACGGGGGGGAUGAAGGCCCUCGGGUUGUAAACCCCUUUCGGCAGGGACGAAUCGAAAGUGACGGUACCUGCAUAAGAAGUCCCGGCUAACUACUUGCCAUCAACCGCGGUAACACGUACGGGACCAGCGUUGUCCGGAUUCAUUGGGCGUAAAGCGCGCGUAACGGUUCGGAAAGUCGCGUCGUGAGAUGCCGGGGCUCAACCCCGGGACUGCGUCCGAUACUUCUGAACUGGAGGCAGGUAGGGGGAGAUCGGAAUUCCUGGUGUAGCGGUGAAAUGCGCAGAUAUCAGGACGAACACCCGGUGGGCGAAGGUGGAUCUCUGUGACUUGCCUGACUCUGAGGCGCGAAAGCUAGGGGUAGCGAAACAGGGAUUAGAUACCCUGGUAGUCCUAGCCGUCAACUUUGGGUUGCUAGGUUGUGGGCAGGAUUAUCGA
rnacentral:rRNA from 1 species